rnacentral:rRNA from 1 species
UACGAAGGGGGGCUAGCGUUGCUCGGAAUUACUGGGCGUAAAGCGCACGUAGGCGGAUUGUUAAGUCAGGGGUGAAAUCCUGGAGCUCAACUCCAGAACUGCCUUUGAUACUGAGGAUCUUGAGUUCGGGAGAGGUGAGUGGAACUGCGAGUGUAGAGGUGAAAUUCGUAGAUAUUCGCAAGAACACCAGUGGCGAAGGCGGCUCACUGGCCCGAUACUGACGCUGAGGCACGAAAGCGUGGGGAGCAAACAGG